rnacentral:rRNA from 1 species
CAGCAGCCGCGGGAAUACGGAGGGUCCGAGCGUUAAUCGGAAUUACUGGGCGUAAAGCGUGCGCAGGCGGUUUGUUAAGCGAGAUGUGAAAGCCCUGGGCUCAACCUAGGAAUAGCAUUUCGAACUGGCGAACUAGAGUCUUGUAGAGGGGGGUAGAAUUCCAGGUGUAGCGGUGAAAUGCGUAGAGAUCUGGAGGAAUACCGGUGGCGAAGGCGGCCCCCUGGACAAAGACUGACGCUCAUGCACGAAAGCGUGGGGAGCAAACAGGAUUAGAUACCCCAGUAGUCCCUGUCUCUUAUAC